ACACCAUACCAUAUUGGAAACAACGUUUUCCGUCAAAUCACCAAAGUUAAGCAAUAUCGGAUCCGGUCAGUACUUGGGAGGGUGACCACUUGGAAAUAACUUGUGGUGUUCUA